GAAAGUCAUUUUUUUUAAUUUGUUGCUGGUAUUUUAGGAUUUUCAUUCUAACAUAUACAUGUUGCGAUACUGACUUUUUUUUUUGUACAAGUGAUAGUGUGUUUUUUAUUCUUGAUAAUUCAAGAACAUUCAAUAUUCUGCAUGACCAAAAAAAACUUUAAUUGAGUAAACAUGUGUCCUAAGACCCUGUUUGGCACAAAUAUUUUGAUAGACAAUCUUUUGUUUGCUACGAUGUGGAUGAUGGAUUUUGCACAUUUUUGGAUUUUUCAUUCCAACAUAUUUGUCCCGUAUGGUUUAUAAUCAAUAUUUAU
rnacentral:lncRNA from 1 species